CAUUUUUAAAUGAAAUUCUAUAUUGCGAGAAGAGAGAGGCGUUCACACUUCACACGCAAUGAAUGACCUAAGAAUCUUCUGUUUCAGUUUCCUGUCCGCGCGCCUGCCGACGCGGCCGCAGUCAUCGCCGUUGGCGCAGUGUGGAGAUUUCUCUCUCUCUCUCUGCGAUUUCCACACGAGUUAUGCCGAAAGUUCGGACCAGAAACAAAGCAGUUUAGUGCCGAAAUGGGUCCACCGGAAUUUCAUAAUAAGGAGUUUGGAAGUUAAUCUACAGCUUUGGUUGCGUCCCACCACUUUAGUGCCUGUUUGUUUCCAGAGAAAAUUCGUAAACGACAAAAAUUUAAAAAGUUUCGUGGAAAGCGGAAUUUACGAAAGCGUGCACGAGAAGUACGCCAUGCUAAUGUGCCUUGGAUGUUAUAGUUUAAAAGUUGUAAUAAUUUUAUCUUUAUUGUAAAAUAUUUCAUCAAAAUUAAGUGUUAUUCUUAUUAUAU